CCUACGGGAGGCGGCAGUGGGGAAUUUUGGACAAUGGGCGAAAGCCUGAUCCAGCAAUGCCGCGUGCAGGAAGAAGGCCUUCGGGUUGUAAACUGCUUUUGUACGGAACGAAACGGUCUGCUUUAAUACAGUGGGCUAAUGACGGUACCGUAAGAAUAAGCACCGGCUAACUACGUGCCAGCAGCCGCGGUAAUACGUAGGGUGCGAGCGUUAAUCGGAAUUACUGGGCGUAAAGCGUGCGCAGGCGGUUAUAUAAGACAGUUGUGAAAUCCCCGGGCUCAACCUGGGAAUUGCAUCUGUGACUGUAUAGCUAGAGUACGGUAGAGGGGGAUGGAAUUCCGCGUGUAGCAGUGAAAUGCGUAGAUAUGCGGAGGAACACCGAUGGCGAAGGCAAUCCCCUGGACCUGUACUGACGCUCAUGCACGAAAGCGUGGGGAGCAAACAGGAUUAGAUACCCUGGUAGUCCACGCCCUAAACGAUGUCAACUGGUUGUUGGGUGCAUUAGUACUCAGUAACGAAGCUAACGCGUGAAGUUGACCGCCUGGGGAGUAGGCCGCAAGGUUGAAACUUCAAAGGAAUUGACGGNNGNGAGNGCGAGACGACGACGAGGAGGAGG
rnacentral:rRNA from 1 species